ensembl:lncRNA
UGGAGGCUUCUGUCACCAGUCAGUCAGUAUGGAGGCUUCUGUCACCAGUCAGUCAGUAUGGAGGCUUCUGUCACCAGUCAGUCAGUCAGUAUGGAGGCUUCUGUCACCAGUCAGUCAGUAUGGAGGCUUCUGUCACCAGUCAGUCAGUCAGUAUGGAGGCUUCUGUCACCAGUCAGUCAGUAUGGAGGCUUCUGUCACCAGUCAGUCAGUAUGGAGGCUUCUGUCACCAGUCUGUCAGUAUGGAGGCUUCUGUCACCAGUCUGUCAGUAUGGAGGCAGAACAGCUGCUGCUGGUGAACGUAGAGGUGCCCUAUAGACACAUAGAGGAGAUGAUUGGUUGGUAGACACAUGGAGGUGUUGGGGAGAUGAUUGGUUGGUAGACACAUGGAGGUGUUGUGGGAGAUGAUUGGUUGGUAGACACAUGGAGGUGUUGGGGAGAUGAUUGGUUGGUAGACACAUGGAGGUGUUGGGGAGAUGAUUGGUUGGUAGACACAUGGAGGAGAUGAUUGGUUGGUAGACACAUGGAGGUGUUGUGGGAGAUGAUUGGUUGGUAGACACAUGGAGGUCUUGUGGGAGGAGAUUGGUUGGUAGACACAUGGAGGUGUUGGGGAGAUGAUUGGUUGGUAGACACAUGGAGAUGAUUGGCUGGUAGACACAUGGGGGAGAUGAUUGGUUGGUAGACACAUGGAGGAGAUUAUUGGUUGGUAGAAACAUGGAGGUGUUGUGAGAGAUGAUUGGCUGGUAGACAGAUGGAGGAGAUGAUUGG